rnacentral:rRNA from 1 species
CAACAGGGAUUGCCCUAGUAACGGCGAGUGAAGCGGCAACAGCUCAAAUUUGAAAUCUGGCUCUUUCAGAGUCCGAGUUGUAAUUUGCAGAGGGCGCUUUGGCUUUGGCAGCGGUCCAAGUUCCUUGGAACAGGACGUCACAGAGGGUGAGAAUCCCGUACGUGGUCGCUAGCUAUUGCCGUGUAAAGCCCCUUCGACGAGUCGAGUUGUUUGGGAAUGCAGCUCUAAAUGGGAGGUAAAUUUCUUCUAAAGCUAAAUAUUGGCCAGAGACCGAUAGCGCACAAGUAGAGUGAUCGAAAGAUGAAAAGCACUUUGGAAAGAGAGUCAAACAGCACGUGAAAUUGUUGAAAGGGAAGCGCUUGCAGCCAGACUUGCUUGCAGUUGCUCAUCCGGGCUUUUGCCCGGUGCACUCUUCUGCAGGCAGGCCAGCAUCAGUUUGGGCGGUGGGAUAAAGGUCUCUGACACGUUCCUUCCUUCGGGUUGGCCAUAUAGGGGAGACGUCAUACCACCAGCCUGGACUGAGGUCCGCGCAUCUGCUAGGAUGCUGGCGUAAUGGCUGUAAGCGGCCCGUCUUGAAACACGGACCAAGGAGUCUAACAUCUAUGCGAGUGUUUGGGUGUCAAGCCCGAGCGCGUAAUGAAAGUGAACGGAGGUGGGAACCCGCAAGGGCGCACCAUCGACCGAUCCUGAAGUUUACGGAAGGAUUUGAGUAAGAGCAUGGCUGUUGGGACCCGAAAGAUGGUGAACUAUGCUUGAAUAGGGUGAAGCCAGAGGAAACUCUGGUGGAGGCUCGCAGCGGUUCUGACGUGCAAAUCGAUCGUCAAAUUUGGGCAUAGGGGCGAAAGACUAAUCGAACUAUCUAGUAGCUGGUUUCCUGCC